UUAUCGUUGUUUUCUUUAAUCGUUUGAUCAUUUAACAUUGGUAACAUUUUGGCGAUCCUGCCAGGACGCCACUCGGGUUGUUUCACGCCGAAUUGUGGCGUUCAAGAGCGGAAAAUUCCUGAUUUGGGCUUUGAUGAUGGGCUUUUUUUGCGAGAGGUAAACUUAAAAUUUAAUGUGAUUUGUCGUUUAACUGGAGAGUAAAGACGU